UGGGGAAUUUUGGACAAUGGGGGAAACCCUGAUCCAGCCAUCCCGCGUGUGCGAUGAAGGCCUUCGGGUUGUAAAGCACUUUUGGCAGGAAAGAAACGUCAUGGGUUAAUACCCCGUGAAACUGACGGUACCUGCAGAAUAAGCACCGGCUAACUACGUGCCAGCAGCCGCGGUAAUACGUAGGGUGCAAGCGUUAAUCGGAAUUACUGGGCGUAAAGCGUGCGCAGGCGGUUCGGAAAGAAAGAUGUGAAAUCCCAGAGCUCAACUUUGGAACUGCAUUUUUAACUACCGGGCUAGAGUGUGUCGGAGGGAGGUGGAAUUCCGCGUGUAGCAGUGAAAUGCGUAGAUAUGCGGAGGAACACCGAUGGCGAAGGCAGCCUCCUGGGAUAACACUGACGCUCAUGCACGAAAGCGUGGGGAGCAAACAGG
rnacentral:rRNA from 1 species